CCGGAGAAUGUUAUCACGGGAGACACACGGCGGGUGCUAACGUCCGUCGUGAAGAGGGAAACAACCCAGACCGCCAGCUAAGGUCCCAAAGUCAUGGUUAAGUGGGAAACGAUGUGGGAAGGCCCAGACAGCCAGGAUGUUGGCUUAGAAGCAGCCAUCAUUUAAAGAAAGCGUAAUAGCUCACUGGUCGAGUCGGCCUGCGCGGAAGAUGUAACGGGGCUAAACCAUGCACCGAAGCUGCGGCAGCGAACGUAUCACCCAAGACAACUUUACGGAGUUGACGAUUGACGGAGCGAAGCGACGUCAAAGCGUUCAUUAAAGUCGAGUUGGCUUAGGGAUACGUUCGUUGGGUAGGGGAGCGUUCUGUAAGCCUGUGAAGGUGUGUCGUGAGGCAUGCUGGAGGUAUCAGAAGUGCGAAUGCUGACAUAAGUAACGAUAAAGCGGGUGAAAAGCCCGCUCGCCGGAAGACCAAGGGUUCCUGUCCAACGUUAAUCGGGGCAGGGUGAGUCGACCCCUAAGGCGAGGCCGAAAGGCGUAGUCGAUGGGAAACGGGUUAAUAUUCCCGUACUUGGUGUUACUGCGAAGGGGGGACGGAGAAGGCUAUGUUGGCCGGGCGACGGUUGUCCCGGUUUAAGCGUGUAGGUGUGUGUUCCAGGUAAAUCCGGUUCACUUUAACACUGAGGCGUGACGACGAGGCACUACGGUGCUGAAGCAACAAAUGCCCUGCUUCCAGGAAAAGCCUCUAAGCAUCAGGUAACACGAAAUCGUACCCCAAACCGACACAGGUGGUCAGGUAGAGAAUACCAAGGCGCUUGAGAGAACUCGGGUGAAGGAACUAGGCAAAAUGGUGCCGUAACUUCGGGAGAAGGCACGCUGACACGUAGGUGAAGUGAUUUACUCAUGGAGCUGAAGUCAGUCGAAGAUACCAGCUGGCUGCAACUGUUUAUUAAAAACACAGCACUGUGCAAACACGAAAGUGGACGUAUACGGUGUGACGCCUGCCCGGUGCCGGAAGGUUAAUUGAUGGGGUCAGCGCAAGCGAAGCUCCUGAUCGAAGCCCCGGUAAACGGCGGCCGUAACUAUAACGGUCCUAAGGUAGCGAAAUUCCUUGUCGGGUAAGUUCCGACCUGCACGAAUGGCGUAAUGAUGGCCAGGCUGUCUCCACCCGAGACUCAGUGAAAUUGAACUCGCUGUGAAGAUGCAGUGUACCCGCGGCAAGACGGAAAGACCCCGUGAACCUUUACUAUAGCUUGACACUGAACAUUGAGCCUUGAUGUGUAGGAUAGGUGGGAGGCUUUGAAGUGUGGACGCCAGUCUGCAUGGAGCCGACCUUGAAAUACCACCCUUUAAUGUUUGAUGUUCUAACGUGGACCCGUAAUCCGGGUUGCGGACAGUGUCUGGUGGGUAGUUUGACUGGGGCGGUCUCCUCCUAAAGAGUAACGGAGGAGCACGAAGGUUGGCUAAUCCUGGUCGGACAUCAGGAGGUUAGUGCAAUGGCAUAAGCCAGCUUGACUGCGAGCGUGACGGCGCGAGCAGGUGCGAAAGCAGGUCAUAGUGAUCCGGUGGUUCUGAAUGGAAGGGCCAUCGCUCAACGGAUAAAAGGUACUCCGGGGAUAACAGGCUGAUACCGCCCAAGAGUUCAUAUCGACGGCGGUGUUUGGCACCUCGAUGUCGGCUCAUCACAUCCUGGGGCUGAAGUAGGUCCCAAGGGUAUGGCUGUUCGCCAUUUAAAGUGGUACGCGAGCUGGGUUUAGAACGUCGUGAGACAGUUCGGUCCCUAUCUGCCGUGGGCGCUGGAGAACUGAGGGGGGCUGCUCCUAGUACGAGAGGACCGGAGUGGACGCAUCACUGGUGUUCGGGUUGUCAUGCCAAUGGCACUGCCCGGUAGCUAAAUGCGGAAGAGAUAAGUGCUGAAAGCAUCUAAGCACGAAACUUGCCCCGAGAUGAGUUCUCCCUGAGACUUUAGGUCUCCUGAAGGAACGUUGAAGACGACGACGUUGAUAGGCCGGGUGUGUAAGCGCAGCGAUGCGUUGAGCUAACCGGUACUAAUGAACCGUGAGGCUUAACCUU
rnacentral:rRNA from 1 species